rnacentral:rRNA from 1 species
AGUGAACGCUGGCGGUAGGCCUAACACAUGCAAGUCGAACGGCAGCACAGUAAGAGCUUGCUCUUACGGGUGGCGAGUGGCGGACGGGUGAGGAAUACAUCGGAAUCUACUUUUUCGUGGGGGAUAACGUAGGGAAACUUACGCUAAUACCGCAUACGACCUACGGGUGAAAGCAGGGGAUCUUCGGACCUUGCGCGAUUGAAUGAGCCGAUGUCGGAUUAGCUAGUUGGCGGGGUAAAGGCCCACCAAGGCGACGAUCCGUAGCUGGUCUGAGAGGAUGAUCAGCCACACUGGAACUGAGACACGGUCCAGACUCCUACGGGAGGCAGCAGUGGGGAAUAUUGGACAAUGGGCGCAAGCCUUAUCCAGCCAUACCGCGUGGGUGAAGAAGGCCUUCGGGUUGUAAAGCCCUUUUGUUGGGAAAGAAAAGCAGCAGGUUAAUACCCCGCUGUUCUGACGGUACCCAAGGAAUAAGCACCGGCUAACUUCGUG